rnacentral:lncRNA from 1 species
UCGGGAGUUUUCAUUUUCUGUAAGGUGGGUUUUUCCUUCCGUGAUGGAGGGUUGGUGUAAUUGUGAAAUCUAUUUCUUUGCGAUUAUUUUGGUGUACGAGAAGGCGUUGAACUGUGAGUUUUGCUCCGUUUGCUUGAACGGUGUUAGCGGUGGUUUUAUCGUCGGUAAGUCGAGUUUUUGUCAGAUAUUGUUGAAAAACUCGUAAGUUAGCCGCUAAUUCAGUGUUUAAUAUUCUAUUUUAGGUGCUGGUGGUCUCGGGAGUGGUUUUG